rfam:Ovis aries breed Texel chromosome 7, whole genome shotgun sequence.
UCCCGAGUGGCUCAGUUGGUAAAGAAUCUGCCUGCAAUGCAGAAUACCAGGGUUCAAUCCCUGGGUCAGGAA